AUGCUCAUGUUUCUCUUCAUAUUGUAAAAAUCUUUCACCUUUUACUAAAGAUUUCUGUAGAGUAAUGAAACUGAGCUUUGUGCAGUGGCAGAAUCAUAGCCCAUGAGGUCAUAU